GUCGAACGGGUAACAGGGUCUUCGGACGCUGACGAGUGGCGAACGGGUGAGCUAAUACAUCGGAACGUGCCCAGUCGUGGGGGAUAACUACUCGAAAGAGUAGCUAAUACCGCAUACGAUCUGAGGAUGAAAGCGGGGGACCUUCGGGCCUCGCGCGAUUGGAGCGGCCGAUGGCAGAUUAGGUAGUUGGUGGGAUAAAAGCUUACCAAGCCGACGAUCUGUAGCUGGUCUGAGAGGACGACCAGCCACACUGGGACUGAGACACGGCCCAGACUCCUACGGGAGGCAGCAGUGGGGAAUUUUGGACAAUGGGCGAAAGCCUGAUCCAGCAAUGCCGCGUGCAGGAUGAAGGCCUUCGGGUUGUAAACUGCUUUUGUACGGAACGAAAAAGCUUCUCCUAAUACGAGAGGCCCAUGACGGUACCGUAAGAAUAAGCACCGGCUAACUACGUGCCAGCAGCCGCGGUAAU
rnacentral:rRNA from 1 species